rnacentral:rRNA from 1 species
GACAGAGGGGGCGAGCGUUGUCCGGAGUUACUGGGCGUACAGCGCGCGCAGGCGGCCGUGAAGGUGCCGGGUGACAGACAAGGGCUUAACCCUUGGCGGUCCCGGUAGACCGGACGGCUGGAGGCUGGGAGAGGGAUGUGGAAUACCCGGUGGAGCGGUGAAAUGCGUAGAGAUCGGGUGGAACACCAGGGCGAAGGCGGCAUCCUGGCCCAGAACGUGACGCUGAGGUGCGAAAGCGUGGGGAGCAAACAGGGAUUAAGAAACC